ACGUAAAAGAACUUGUAAAUGCUUCCGGAUACAGGAACUUUAAUUAUGUUAUUAUAUUCAUGCAACAAAUAUGAGUCCAAGGUCUCCUGGUCUGUUAGAAUAGAAGUGGAACGUCAGCAGUGACAAGCAAACGUGCCGAGGUUAGGUUAUGUUUAAUAUGGAAGCAGUCCAAUGCAGAAGCCGUGCAUCGCGACAUUUUUUCAUCUCUGCGCUGUAAAGUUUUUAAACCUUUUGCAAGAAUUUCACGAGAUAAUUUUGUUAUCCUUGCAUUGUCGUGUCUCCAUUUCCUGUCAUCUAUUUGUUUUAAUUUUUAUUUAUUUAUAAUUUACUUAAAGAAGCUGUUAGUGCUUGAGACUACAUCGCGUCGAAUUUUUAAUGAAUAUCGAAUUGGGAAGGCUGUGGAAUGAAGCUAACCUAAGAUGCUAUCCGCGACAUUAAACCGCUGGGUUUUGAUGGUGAAUGACAACAUAUAUACCAGAAAACUCCACAGAGAGACUGUUAACAUUCCACUGCUGCUAGUCUAGAGAGAUCCGUGAGAAAAGAUGGGCUAUGGCAAUUCUAAUGGUGGCCGUUACUUUGUUGUUCUGCCUCCCAUGAUGGAGAUGUCUGGUGGCUUACUCCUUCAUGUGUAUGGUUCGGAGAACCUGAGGAAUUGGAACGUGAAUCCUAGUCCCAAGCGGAGUUCCAUUAUCAUCAACGAGCACCACAUUAUUGCUGUCAAAUUUAGGACUUAAUGCCGGCUGAUUCUGCUUAACACCAAC